CGAAGGGGCUAGCGUUGCUCGGAAUCACUGGGCGUAAAGGGCGCGUAGGCGGCCAUUCAAGUCGGGGGUGAAAGCCUGUGGCUCAACCACAGAAUUGCCUUCGAUACUGUUUGGCUUGAGUUUGGUAGAGGUUGGUGGAACUGCGAGUGUAGAGGUGAAAUUCGUAGAUAUUCGCAAGAACACCAGUGGCGAAGGCGGCCAACUGGACCAAUACUGACGCUGAGGCGCGAAAAGCGUGGGGGAGCAAACAGGAUU
rnacentral:rRNA from 1 species